rnacentral:misc_RNA from 1 species
CAGAAUGUCACCUCUCAUUGGUACACUCUGAUUUAUAUCCCUUUGUCUACAUACUCUGUUGCUUCCAUGGUGCCAGCUAAGUCUUUAGCUCUGGACAGGAAAGUUUUGUACUACCUGCCUGGAAGUGCCCAUGGGUUAAUUAUAUAAAAAUCUUUUUGCUGAAGUUGUCUGAAUAUAUUUUAAAUAAAAUA